GUCGCGCGCCCUGCCGUUAAAUGCUCGAAUAUGCCUGCAUGCCGUACGUCAGAACGGUCUAUCGCUAGCCGCGCGCCGAGGCAUGAGCUAGCUAGCUAGCUGACGCCAUAUGCCGCACACCCGCGCACGUGCGUAUACCGCAUGGUAUACUACACUCACGCGGCCAUUUUACCUGAUUCAAACGUUGUCACCUCUCACUCACGAAAUUGCCUGUUCCAAUUCAUCUUUCUGCGCUCGUAUUCCUCGAUAGCUCUUUGCAGAUCAAUCAGAUGAGACGAUUUUUGGUCUACUGGAAACGGCACUUCAAAAAUUAGACCGUCAUGAGCAGCUGCUCCUGGAAAUUGCAAGGAGGCAGGCGGGGGCAGGGCCAGUACAAGCUGACUCGGAAGAAAAUGAUGCUGUGGAUCUUCCACGCUUGCCAUGUGAGUCACGGGAGGAUCUCCAGGAGCUUAACACACUCCUGGAGAAUUCUGGAGCUGCCCGCAAAAAACUGAUCAGGAUCAUCAGCCUUGUAGGAGGUACUGGAGCCAUAGUGGUCAAUAAUACUUUGAAAUCCAUUGUGGGACACAAUGUCAGUAAGACAUUUAACAUGAUCGGGACGAAGGGAAAGGAGUCGUUUGCGGCUCUGCAAAGCAUCAACUCCGUUAUCAAAAAGGGUGUCCGUGCUAACCGUGGCAUGAAAGAGACGACGGACAAGGACAUUGCGUCAUGGUGUGGACGAUGGUUCACGAACGCGAGAGAUCGCAAAGGAGACCGGCUGGCCAGGAGGCUGGCGAAGCCGCAAAUUGCAGAAGAUGUGCUACCUGUAGAAGAUGUGCUACUUGUAGAAGAGGAGAUUGUGGGAGCAGAUUCCGACUGAACAAAGAUUUAGAAAUGAAGUUUAUAAAGAAAGAGUAUAAAUUUCUCUACAGAUUGGAGCUAAAAUGAUAUAAUUGGAUAAGAAAUUUAAAAAAAUUUCAGGCAUUUUGAAAUUUUACAUAUUUCCAUGUCAUAACUAAUUAUUUUGAUCCAGUUUUCAUAACUUUUGCUCCAAAAUGGUAGACAUGUUUUAACUAUUACUUUUAUGAGUAUGUAAAAUCUGGACUGGGCAUGUUUUUAAGUGCCUUUCCUAUUUGAAUUAAAAAAAAAAAAAAACAUGAAAUGGCAAAACCUUUUUGUUCAUGUCCAUCUACUACUUUUAGUGAAAUCUUAUUUUUAGAAAAAAAAAAGAUAACAAUUUUCAAACUUGCCUAAAAAAAUGUACUUGCCACAAAAUAGUGCCUAUGACUUUCAGUGCUUCACAUUUUACUCGAGAGUAAACUGUUACUUGCCAAGUAACAAAAAAAAAGGAAAAGAAAAAAAAUGUUCACUUCUUGCCCAAAGAAUUAAGUGGGCAAUUAUUGAGAACAGAGAUAAAUGAUUUUCAACAAAUCACAGUACUGCCAUUCCAUUCUUGCUCUAUUUGUUUUGCAAUAUUUACAGGGUAUUUUUAUUACCAAAAAUUUCAUGAAAUUAGGCUAAACAACUCAUGUUGCCAGAAUUCCAUCACAGCUCGAUCUUAUUUUCAUUGUAAGACAGAUUUUGGAGCUAAAUGUAUAUAUAUCUUUUUUCGUGUUUUCAGCACACAUUGGCUAUAAGGUGGUACAGUCUACCCAUGUUGUACAAGCAUGAAUAAAUUUCGUUAUAACAAAGUUAUUUUCCAGGAUCCAAUUCGUGCAAAGGUAUAUGUAUGUGUUCACUGUCCUGUAUAUUAUAGCAAGUCAAUUACCUUGUUGAAAUGUGGUACUUGGCUUAGUCCCAAGUGCUUCGUCCUAUAGGGAGUAGACUGUACUUUGUUAAUAUUCCACCAGCUAUAAGUUUUUGUGUUUUUUUUUUACAUCAAAAAGUGUUUUUUUUUUUCUGAAGUAGGUUAAAAUGGUCGUCAGCAGUUUCAUUUGCUGUGAGAAACAUUGUGUACGCUGAUGUGAUACACUUCAAUUGUGAUACCAUAUCGCUAAAUGUGAACUACGCAUGUUCUUUGGGGAUAACUGCAGUGCACUCUUUCAAACAUGGCUGCACAAACUUUUCCGACUUGAAAUACUACAGGAAACUAGGCAUAUGCACUGAAAUCUACACUUUGUGCGGAUACAUGACAACCUUGUGAUUUUGUUUUAAAAAAUAUUUCCUGUGCCAUCUUUGGCAGCAGAAAUAUUAUGCACAUUGUACCUUAAAUACAUUUUAGGUACCAUCAUUUCUCCAAGAAGUUUAGUUACAUAAUUUACAGAUGAGAAUACUUUCUACAUCAUUUUCUAUUUUAGUUCUUGAGUAUUACCACAUAUGUGGUUAAUUAUGAAUGCUGGGUUAACUGGUCAGUUACUUACAGUAACAAAUUUUUGGUUUUUUCAUUUAAGUUGGUGCUCAGGAAUUUGUAUGUCGAUUUUAUUUCUUGAUGGGGAAUAAUACUCGACAACCUUUUUUUUUUUAGUAAAUUGUUGUGUUGACUUCACUGUUGUCCCACUAUUAGUUAUCUGUAGCUUUUACAAUGCUAACUUUUCAACUAUGCACAUAAGUUUUAGUAAUUUGUAUAACCUGUAGUUAAUAUCUUUCAUGUAUUUUUUUUUAUCUUAGUUGUAGAAUAUUUUUAGAUAAGUGCCUAAUUGCUGUUUGUUUGCCAAUUUAUGCUGCAGGUAUUUACGAUACCUUCUGUACUUGUAUUCAUAUGCUGAAAGUUCUUAUUAUCCAACAGUUGUGUGAGGAAAAGAAGUGUGCUUACAUGGUAUUUGCAAUAUUUAAAAACUGUCUUUCUCAUGUUGUAUUCCAUGGGUAUCGCUGGCUGUAACGAACCCAUCAUUUUUCAGGUAUUCAGGUAUUCCAGAUAUUAGCUUUGUUAUUGUGAUAAGCCCAAUGACUGCUCGAUGACAAUGUUUAUCAUUCUAAGAAAGACGAUCUGAUUGGAUUUUAGAGUGUGUAGGUCUAAGGUUAAGGGUCACAGAGGUUAAGUUGGGAAAUUUGCCUUGA
rnacentral:lncRNA from 1 species